GUUUGCAGGAAGGACCUUUGGUCUUCAUCUUCCCCCCCAAACCCAAGGACACCCUCUCCAUUACCCGAACCCCCGAGGUCACAUGCGUGGUGGUGGACCUGGAAGAACCUGAGGUCCAGAUCAGCUGGUUCGUGGAUGACCAGGAGGUGCACACAGCCAAGACGAAGGUGCCUGAGGAGCAGUUCAACAGCACCUACCGUGUGGUCAGUGUCCUCCCCAUCGUGCACCAGGACUGGCUCAAGGGGAAGGAGUUCAAGUGCAAGGUCAACAGCAAAGCCCUCCCAUCCCCCAUCCAGAGGACCAUCUCCAAGGCCAGAGGGCAGGCCCAUCAGCCCAAUGUGUACGUCCUGGCCCCAUCCCGGGACGAGAUGAACAAGAACACAGUCAGCGUGACCUGCCUGGUCAAAGACUUCUACCCAUCUGAGGUUGAUGUCGAGUGGCAGAGCAAUGGCCAGCAGAUGCCAGAAAGCAGUAUCCGAACAACCCCACCCCAGCUGGAUGCAGAUGGGACCUACUUCCUCUACAGCAAGCUCUCAGUGGACAAGAACCAAUGGCAGCGGGGAGAGGUCUUCAUGUGUGAAGUCAUGCAUGAAGCUCUACACAACCACCACACACAGAAAUCCAUCUCCCAGUCUCCGGAGCUGCUCCUGGACGACAGCUGUGCCGAGGACCAGGAUGGGGAGCUGGACGGGCUGUGGACCACCAUCUCCAUCUUCAUCACCCUCUUCCUGCUCAGCGUGUGCUACAGCGCCACUGUGACCCUCUUCAAGGUGAAGUGGAUCUUCUCCUCGGUGGUGGAGCUGAAGCGCACGAUCGUGCCCGACUAUAGGAACAUGAUCGGGCAGGGGGCCUAG